rnacentral:rRNA from 1 species
UACGUAGGGGGCAAGCGUUGUCCGGAAUCAUUGGGCGUAAAGGGCGCGUAGGCGGUGCGAUAAGCGUGCGGUGAAAGCCCGGGGCUCAACCCCGGGUCGGCCGUGCGGACUGUCGGACUGGAGCACUGUAGAGGCAGGUGGAAUUCCGGGUGUAGCGGUGGAAUGCGUAGAGAUCCGGAAGAACACCGGUGGCGAAGGCGGCCUGCUGGGCAGUGGCUGACGCUGAGGCGCGACAGCGUGGGGAGCAAACAGG